GGUUUGAGCAGUGGGGGAGGCGACCUAAUUUCCAAAGGGAAAUUUGGGCCAAAUCCACUUGGGGAAGGAUGCGUUUGACGAGAACCCAAGGGGACAAAUCCUGCCUGGAACCCGUGAGGGUGAAGGGAUGUUAAGAGCUGCUCACGACGCCAGUGAAAAGCCCGAGGUGGCAAGAGGCCAGGCGAGGGAUAGCCCUGGGCCGUGAGCGGUAACAGUGCCGG
rnacentral:lncRNA from 1 species